rnacentral:rRNA from 1 species
CACUCCUGCGGGAGGCAGCAGUGGGGAAUAUUGGACAAUGGGCGCAAGCCUGAUCCAGCCAUGCCGCGUGAGUGAUGAAGGCCCUAGGGUUGUAAAGCUCUUUCACCGGUGAAGAUAAUGACGGUAACCGGAGAAGAAGCCCCGGCUAACUUCGUGCCAGCAGCCGCGGUAAUACGAAGGGGGCUAGCGUUGUUCGGAUUUACUGGGCGUAAAGCGCACAUAGGCGGACUAUUAAGUCAGGGGUGAAAUCCCGGGGCUCAACCCCGGAACUGCCUUUGAUACUGGUAGUCUUGAGUUCGAGAGAGGUGAGUGGAAUUCCGAGUGUAGAGGUGAAAUUCGUAGAUAUUCGGAGGAACACCAGUGGCGAAGGCGGCUCACUGGCUCGAUACUGACGCUGAGGUGCGAAAGCGUGGGGGGCAAACAGGAUUAGAAACCCGGGUAGUCCCCAUGAU